AAACUUAACGUGAAAUAGAACAACCCUAGCAGCGAUUUUUCCUAAGAACGAUCUUCACAAUACAGCGAUCUAAGAGCAGCUCUCUACUGAAAAUCUUUGUAUUCUCAAAAUAGAGAAAGCACUAGUCUGCCUAGAAGCAGACGCAGCAGCUUGUUUCAGUCAUUCAUCUGUAUUUUUCAGAACAAAGAAAGUACAGGUCUGUCUAUCACCGAUCUCAAUCUCUAUCUUCUAUUCACUCGAAUCUGAGGUAUUACUCCACUUCUUUCUGUUUAUUUGUUUCCUUCUAUUAAGCUGAUUUGUUGUUUGUUUUGUUCAAGUUAUAACUCUUCUUGUUUAAGUUAGUUUUGUUCUCUGAUCACACUAGCUGCUGAUCGUUAUUUGUAAAAAAAGAUUCAGUUUUAUAGUGCUUUAUGAUCCCAAAAAAUGAAGGGGAUCUAUCGUUAAAGAACUAAGUGUUCCUAAAGGUUAAGAACAAUAAACUAAACUUGAAAAGGGGAACUAACAAGUAGAAGAGCUAAAACAAUAUGAUCAAUAUCGAGAGAGUUGUGUUCAAGUUGAGAAAUCCAUUAUGAAUUACUAGUGAAUCGUUUUUAAGAUUUUAAGCCUAACAGAGCAAGUGUGAAAACUGAUUUAUGUAUGUUACUAUUGGAAAAGUGAAAAAUUGGUAGUUUUGUUUGGUUCCAAAAACUAAUAAAAGAUGUAAAACGAAAUAGAACUGAUGCAAAUGCCUCAUGUGGUGAUGCACAUAGAAGGUUGAAAAAGUGAAAGUUUUGUUUGGGUUUGAAACUUGGAAAACUUGAUAUCUUCCAAGAAGAUACAUUCUAACAGUUUGUUAAAACAUUAUUAAUCCAUUUUUCUAACAUGUUCUCUUAUUUCUUUCUAGUUUCUCCUCUUUGCGAGUUGUUUUCUUCUUCUCUAAAUCUAAGAGUAGCUCUCAACUGAAAAUCUUUGAUUUCUCAAAAUAGAGAAAGCACGAGUCGGCCUAGAAGCAGUCGCAACAGCUUUGUUUCAGUGUUUCAUCUGUGUUUUUUCAGGACAAAGAAAGUACAGGUCUGUCCAGCACCGAUCUCAACUCAAUCUCUAUCUUCUAUUCACUGGAAUCUCAGGUAUUACUCCACUUCUUCCAGUUUAUUUGUUUCCUUCGAUUAAGCCGAUUUGUUGUUUGUUUUGUUCAAGUCAUAACUCUUCUUCUUUAAGUUAGUUUGGUUCGCUGAUCACACUAGCUAGCUGCUGAUCAUUAUUUGUAAAAAAAGUUCCAGCUUUAUAGUGCAUGUUUUAUGAUCCCAAAAAUGAAGGGGAUCUAUCCUUAAAGAACUAAGUGUUCCAAAAGGUUAAGAACAAUAAACUAAAACUUGAAAAGGGGAACUAACAAGUAGACGAGCUAUCAAUAUCGAGAGGGUUGUUCAAGUUGAGAAAUCCAUUAUGAAUUACAAGUGAAUCGUUUUUAAGCUUUUAAGCCUAACAGGGCAAGUGAGGAAACUUAUUGCUGUAUGUUACUAUUGGAAAAGUGAAAAAAUGAAAGUUUUGUUUGGUUCUAAAAACUAAUAAAGAUGUAAACGAAAUAGAAGUGAUGCAAAUGACCUCAUGUAGUGAUGCACAUAGAAGGUUGAAAAAGUGAUAGUUUCGUUUGGGUCUGAAACUUGGAAAACUUGAUAUCUUUCAAGAAGAUGCAUUCUAACAGUUUGUUAAAACAUUAUUAAUCCAUUUUUUCUAACAGGUUCACUUAUUUCUUUCUAGUUGUAUCUCAGUUAUUUCUCCUCUUUGUUGAGUUAUUUUUUCUUCUCUAAAUCUAAGAGUAGCUCUCAACUGAAAAUAUUUUAUUAUCGAAAUAGAGAAAGCACAGGUCUGCCUAGAAGCAGUCGCAACAGCUUGGUUUCAGUGUUUCAUCUGUGUUUUUCAGGACAAAGAAAGCACAGGUCUGCCUAGCUCCGAUCUCAACUCAAUC
rnacentral:lncRNA from 1 species